rnacentral:lncRNA from 1 species
UAUUUUGUCAUGUUCAUAACAACCUUUAAUCUGCAAUGAAACAAAAAAAAAACAUCGAGGCAUCCAUGCGUAAAAAAUCGGAAUCAUUGGCUGCAUUAACUGCUCUUCAAAGCUAUAUUAAUCUGUCCUCUCAGAUUAUGAAACUAUUUAAUCAUUGGCUGUAUUAACUCCGAGGAACCACUAGAACCGUUUAAAGCCAUGAGGAAGGGGAA